ensembl:lncRNA ZBTB20-AS1 ZBTB20 antisense RNA 1
AGCAUAGUUACUCUGUGAUGAAGAAAAACUCAGAAAACUAUCCAGAUGUGGGAAUUUCUCGGGUAUUCCUUGCACUUGAACUUAAGGAUGAAUGAAGGUAUAUACAAGUCUCUACUUCUCCUACAUAAAUGCCUUGCAUGGCGGGAACUAAAUCAACUACACAGACCCAUACAUCCAGAGAGCAGAGGUGAGCUGGAUACAAGUGGCUUAGAGAUGUGGUGGAAGGAGGCCAGAGCUCCAAGGGAAGGGCAGCAAGGAGACAACAGCAUGGGUUGCAGCUCAGACAACAGGUAAAUAAAACCAAGCAAAGCUGCUGGUCACAGAUUUGACCAGGGUGGCAAGAAAUGACAAGCUACCAUGAGAUUCAACAGUGGCACGGAAGGAUGAUGAGAAGCAAACAGAUUAGGAGAAGCUGCCACCACCGUACAUAGAGGCACAGAUGACCAAGCAGAACAGCACCAGUCCCUGCAAGGUGUGCUCAGAUACAGCUCAGCACAGCCAUCUGGCCAGGAGGGAAUGAUAAUGCACAUGGUGUGCACUGCAGCCGGGAAGUUGAGAACCGCUGUGGGCACCUCAGGACUGAGUCUGGUUACCCUGCUGAUCCAAGAAAUGAAGCCAUCUAAAAUUUUGCCUGCUUUCACAAUUUUCUGUGUGUGUGUGUGUGUAUUAAACAAAGUGAACUAAGAAGCC